rnacentral:rRNA from 1 species
GACGAACGCUGGCGGCGUGCUUAACACAUGCAAGUCGAACGGAAAGGCCCUUCGGGGUACUCGAGUGGCGAACGGGUGAGUAACACGUGGGUGAUCUGCCCUGCACUUUGGGAUAAGCCUGGGAAACUGGGUCUAAUACCGAAUAGGACCACGCGCUUCAUGGUGUGUGGUGGAAAGCUUUUGCGGUGUGGGAUGGGCCCGCGGCCUAUCAGCUUGUUGUUGGGGUAAUGGCCUACCAAGGCGACGACGGGUAGCCGGCCUGAGAGGGUGACCGGCCACACUGGGACUGAGAUACGGCCCAGACUCCAACGGGAGGCAGCAGUGGGGAAUAUUGCACAAUGGGCGCAAGCCUGAUGCAGCGACGCCGCGUGAGGGAUGACGGCCUUCGGGUUGUAAACCUCUUUCAAUAGGGACGAAGCGAAAGUGACGGUACCUAUAGAAGAAGCACCGGCCAACUACGUG